rnacentral:lncRNA from 1 species
CUCAAAAAAAAAAAAAAGAAAGGCUUUUUUUUCGAAAGGCUAUGUGUUAUUCUGCUUAUAUUUCCCUGGCUAAAGAAAACCACAGAGACGAUCUUGAUUUCAUUGUGAUGGGCAGCAUGGAAGAAGGAACUAACAAAUGAUGUCCUUGUAGAAGAGUAAUGUCUCCUGACAAUGUUCUCUUUAGUCCAUGAUGUGGGAUAAGAGGAGGUUUUACUGAUUAUGAGGCAACAGACAUAAGGAGGAAAAACAUUUUCAAAGAUAAGAAUACCAUGAUAAUAGAAGUCUUGAUUUGUGAUCUUGGGAAAAGCUGUUCACAUGAAGAAUGUCAUCUUCUUCUGGAGAGAAACUUUCUCAACAAACAAACUGAAAAAAAAUCAAUCACCAUUCCACAGCAUGCUCUACAAGUUUUAGGGUUCCUACGAGGCUACGGAAUUGAGUGUGAUAACUGAUCUAAAAGGCAAGAUUAAUAAACUGAGGCAAACAGAAACUAAGUAACUUGGAAAAUAAAUGAGUAAAGAAAUAAAAUGCAUGCGACCUGUUAUGGAUUAUAAGAAUAUGUCUCAUGUUUUACAUACAGAGAAAUAAAUCUGAGAUUUCAGUCAGUACUUCACAGACUUAUACUAAUAUACCAGUCAUAAUGAGAGGAUAGGUAGUAAAUUAUUGCAGAGAAAAAUAAAAUGGAUUAAGGGAGAUUGGGACACUUCUAUGUGUAGGUGUG